GUUGACUGGGUGGAAGCGGGCGUGUGAAUACGUAGGGUGCGCGCUUUGUCCGGUAUUGUUGGGCGUAAAGAGGUCGGAGGCGGUUUGUUGCGUCUACCGGGAAAACUGGAGGCUUAACCUUCAGGUUGCGGUGGAUACGGGCAGACUUGAGUUCGGUAGGGGAGAGUGGAAUGCCUGGUGUAGCGGUGAAAUGCGCAGAUAUCAGGAGGAACACCGGUGGCGAAGGCGGGUCUCUGGGCCGAUACUGACGCUGAGGAGCGAAAGCGUGGGGAGCGAACAGGAUUAGAUACCCCGGUAGUC
rnacentral:rRNA from 1 species